GCUUUAUUAUUAUAAGUCAUUACUUGCCAAAUAUGGCAGCUGCCAGGUCUAGCCAUGUCCAGAUUUGGGCACCUUCCUAAAAUGGCAAUUACUCAAAACAAAGAAAAAAGGCGCUAGAACAAAAUAAGAAAAAGGGGGGCCCACUGGCAUUAUGUGGGCAACAAGUGGGUCCGGCGCUCAUUGUCAGGUUAGGAAAACAAAUUGGAAAAGGGGCCGCUGUCAGGAUUCGAACCUGGGACGGAGUGUCCUGAACAAAAGAGGCGUCGGUUUUGUUUUUGUGCUAGUCCCUAGCUUUCUUCUACCUCAAGCAGGAGAAGGACAACGACGUGUUGGCGGCACCGGCGGCAACCACCGGAGUUGGA
rnacentral:lncRNA from 1 species